rnacentral:rRNA from 1 species
AGGAGACGCUGGCGGCGUGGAUUAGGCAUGCAAGUCGAACGGUAUCAUCCUUUCGGGGGUGAGAGAGUGGCGAACUGGUGAGUAACACGUAGGUUAUCUACCCUCAAGACGGGGACAACCCAGGGAAACUUGGGCUAAUACCGGAUGUGAGCAACUUUUAGUUGUUUGAAAGGUGGCGUAAGCUGUCGCUUGGGGAUGAGCCUGCGUCCUAUUAGUUAGUUGGUGAGGUAACGGCUCACCUAGGCAAUGAUAGGUAGGCGGCCUUAACGGGUGGUCGCCCACACUGGGAUUGAGAUACGGCCCAGACUCCUACGGGAGGCAGCAGUCGAGAAUAGUCUACAAUGGUCGGAAGACUGAUAGUGCGACGCCGCGUGAACGAUGAAUCCCUUCGGGGUGUAAAGUUCUUUUAUAUGUGAGCAGUGCUUCUUAUAUUAACAGUAUGGGGAGAGAGAUAUUAGCAUAUGAAUAAGCAACGGCUAACUCCGUG